rnacentral:rRNA from 1 species
GAUGAACGCUGACAGAAUGCUUAACACAUGCAAGUCGAUUCAAGUUACCUUCGGGUAAUGAGGAUGGCGGACGGGUGAGUAACGCGUAAGGAACUUGCCUCUUGGUCUGGGACAACUGUUGGAAACGACAGCUAAUACCGGAUAUUAUGAGAUUCUCGCAUGGGAAACUUAUGAAAGCUAUAUGCGCCAAGAGAGAGCCUUGCGUUCCAUUAGCUAGUUGGUGGGGUAACGGCCCACCAAGGCGACGAUGGAUAGCCGGCCUGAGAGGGUGAACGGCCACAAGGGGACUGAGACACGGCCCUUACUCCUACGGGAGGCAGCAGUGGGGAAUAUUGGACAAUGGACCAAAAGUCUGAUCCAGCAAUUCUGUGUGCACGAUGAAGGUCUUCGGAUUGUAAAGUGCUUUCAGUUGGGAAGAAGCAAGUGACGGUACCAACAGAAGAAGCGACGGCUAAAUACGUGCCAGCAGCCGCGGUAAUACGUAUGUCGCAAGCGUUAUCCGGAUUUAUUGGGCGUAAAGCGCGUCUAGGCGGAAAAAUAAGUCUGAUGUUAAAAUGCGGGGCUCAACUCCGUAUUGCGUUGNAAACUGNUUUUCUAGAGUACUGGAGANGUGGGCGGAACUACAAGUGUAGAGGUGAAAUUCGUAGAUAUUUGUAGGAAUGCCGAUGGAGAAGUCAGCUCACUGGNCAGAUACUGACGCUGAAGCGCGAAAGCGUGGGG